rnacentral:lncRNA from 1 species
GCCCGCCUGCCCGAGGCUCUCUGUUCCCUAUCCCGCCGCCACCUCCGGGCGACCUGGCGGGAGCAGCCGUAAUUGGAUCUUCGUCGCCUCCUCCCCUCCCUGCCCCUCAUCGGGGAGCCGGUUAAAGGCUGGGUACCUCGGCACCACCGGCGGAUCCCAACCUGUGAUUUGGCUGCCGGGCUUCCCCCGGGCGGCUCGGCGACACCCUGCAGGCUGGGCCCUCCCCCACCGCUGGCCCUGCGACAUAAAGAAGCUGGACCUAGAGUCCCAUGGAUGGUGGAGGCAGCCUAGCAUGUCAGCAACACUUCCAAGCCCUAGACUGAGACAUCAGGACAGGAGGACGGUGACAACCACCUAAGGGGCUCAAGCCAGAUUCACCUCCAAUGUCCCAUUCUUCACAAAACCUACUCCAGCCCCCCCCCUGGAGCCAUGUUGAAGAGUUUGUCCCACAGCUGCUCUCCAGAGUAAUGCUUUCUGUGCCAGACAAAAGCACAUAAACAGGGCUGUGCUCUAACCCAUACAAGAAGAAGCCCUGUGGAGCGGGACACAAGCUGAUGCUGCCAAUCACUCUCUUCUCUAAGACAGCAAGAUGGCAGCACUGACCGCAGCACAUAGUGAGACUGCCUAGCCUCAGAAACUGUGGCUGACUUGUCCUCGGCCACUUGCUCAUUCACCAACAAUGGAUGUCUCUAGAGUCUAGACUCCAAGGGUCAUACACCCAAUCGUAAUAGUUUUUCUCACCUUCCUACCACAUUUG